rnacentral:lncRNA from 1 species
GCUUUUAUAGGAGGGUUAGUUACCCCCGGCAGAGGGACAGGUUACUAGCAGGGAGAGACAGUAACACACAGUGACAGACAUGGUGACACACAGUCAGAAUCAGACUCAUAGUUGUGUUUCACCUCUCAGGCUUGGCAGGACCCAAAUGUACAGUGUAUCAUAGAACUUAGAAUAGAUGUGAGAAAUGAUUGAAGUCCUCAGAUACUUUUGUAGCUUUAUGUAGCCUCAAUUCUUAUCUAGUUAGAAAAAUUGGAAUAUGUUAUUUUUUGUACCUACAUACAGAUCAAACAAAAUGGAUGUAUUUCAUAACAUAGAAAUGGAAUCAGGUUUUAGGAGUUGUACUUCGUGUAUUUAGACACUAGCUAGAAUUCACAAACUGUACGUUUAAUCCACAACAUGUAGGCUGUAUUUCUUUUCAGAGCUGAAGAAAAAAAUUUGUAAAUAUUACAUUGUGGCAUUGGUCUGAUGUCAACAGGCCUGAAAAAUUCUCAAUAUCAUUGAAUUCCAUGUUAUUCCAAUAAAACUUAUUUAAGAAUAGUUUAACACUCAUAUCAGAGUUGUGUUAAAAAUUGGUGGGAUUCAUGUACAUGUAUUUGUAGUUUAUAGAAUGACUUAGGUUUUUUGGCAUAAAAUGUGUAUUUUGUUACAAUUACAUUCUAUCAUGUCAGCAUUUAAAUAAUUUCCUGUUUCUGUUACUUAAUACGUGUAUUUCAUUAUACUGGUUAAACAAUGAAGGAGCAGUAAUUCAUUGUUUGUAGAGAGGAUAUGUCCACGCUUUAACUCAUUUUUUAUUGCAAAUUUGUUUGAAGUAGAACUAGUAAGAGAUUUCCGCAAGACUAUGUAUGUACUUGUCCUAAAAACAUCAAAAAACAACCACCAGAUUUGAUUUAAUUCUUUCUAAUUUAUUUCUGAUUGAAAAACCCCACUGAAUUAGUCAAGUCAAUUACACAUUCGCUGGGCAAGGGUAGCUUGAAGUAUAUCAAGUACUUCAUCCUGUGCUUUUUCGAUACAUAAAAGCAAUGACGUUGACACAUUUGGUACUAGAAGCCUGGAACUCUGCUUGGAAAAUCUUGAGUUGGUGUUGAUACAAAAUGUUACAUGAGCGAAUUCUUUUGGAUUAUUAGGUGGGGGUUGGUGAAUUAAAUAAGAACCAGGUUCCUGUCAAAAGUACACCAAGCAGCUAGGCUCAGAGUUUUGGCAACGUUUUAAGAUAGUCAACACUUGUUUUCAGGAAAUCGAAAUAGUUAUUAGGGGAGGGCUAGUCCAGUGUUUAGUUUUACAGUUUCUGGUCCUUUGGAAAGCUUUCAAGUUGUGACUUUUUUUGAGUGUUUUAAAUUUCUAUGUGUACAUUUAUGUUAAUUGAUUAUUGUAGCAGUUUCGUGCUUUGUUGAUGAAUGUAAAAUCAUACAAGCACAUUGUGAGCCUCUUGUUUUUUCUUUCAGUGUUUUUUUUUUUUGGAAAUUGAGUGGAAUUAUUUUAAUUUAAUUAUCUGAUAGCAUAUUUACACCAGACUUUUAAAAAUAAUGAACUAACUCAAAGCUUUGUGGUUUCAGGCAUUGCAUGGUAUACAUGUAGAUUGCACUUUUAGAUUAUGUGUAAACGUAGGUUAAGUCAAUAGAGCAGAAAUUGGUUGUCAACCCUAGUGAAAGAUGUAAUAGUACAUUUUAACUAAGGAAAGCAUGAUAUGUUUUUUUAUACUUGUAUAUAUAAUAGGACUAGGUUGAUUAAUGUUAGCAUAUUUCAGUUCUUUAUACAGCAGCCACAUUGUAGCAUGUGUACCUUUUAAUGUUUACUUGAGUAAUUACAUGUAGCUCUUUCCUAUCCAUGGACAAAAUAUUUGACAAAUUGUGCAUGUAAAUUCUUUUCUUUUAGAACCACACAUGUGCAUACAUUCAAGUAUAUGAAUUCAAUGGGCAGCUGUGUAGACCUUAAACAUGUUCAACUUUAUUCAGACCGAAGACAAGUCAUCAUACUUAAAAUGUUUAAACAUGGAAAUUACCGAGGCAUAUACAUAUAGUUUUGUACUUUACCUCUGAUUUUGAUGUGUCAGUGGAAACUGAAUAUCUCUGGUGGUGGAAAUGUUUUCUUAAAUGCUUUUCUUGACUUUUUUUUAAUAGAGAUUAGAUACUAGUAUGUACAUUACGAGGAAAAUAUUUGAAUGUGUGGGAAAAAAAGUUAUGUAAUCAUUCUUUUAGUAAGUCUUUGUGUUUUGAUGGCCAAGCACUCGGAAUAAAUGCCAGUGUGCUAAUAUUUAUGUAAAACAUACUUUUAGAGGUAUCAAUUAUUACAGAGGUAUUAGCUUGAAUCACUGAUGUCGGACAACUUACAUUUGAUAAAUCUUAGUUGAAUGAGCAGAUAGUGGUUUAAUAAGGCUUGUUUCAUCUUGGGGCAGAUGCCAUACUUGCCUAGAACACGCUGAGGAUGAGACAUAUGCAGAUUAGCCAUUCGUAUAGGUAGCCACAGUACUGCUGUACAUCAUGGUGGGAGAUUGCACAUGAAUGUGGUGUGUGAGGCCGUUGCCAAAGCUUCUGGCCUCCAUUAAUCAACCAUACUGUUUGUUCGUAGCUGGAAAUAGAACAGAGACAUGAGGAUGAUGUCCAUGACUACUGUCUGAUCCAAUUCCAGAGGCUGGUGGAUCGCAAACCACAUGCAGUUACUCAUUGAUCAGUGAACAUCCGCGACAUCUGCUGAGCAUCAUGCAUCACGAGGACAGACUGGGGGCUACGGUGUUCAGUCAGUUAGCCGAAUGAUUUCUUCAAUCCGCACCACCCUACUACAAAAAGACUUCAUAAAAUGUGUGUGUGUGUUUUUUUUUAUUUUUUUAUUUAGCUCAAUAUAAUUUAAGGGAGAUACCACACUGAAAAAAGUGAAAACCUCAUGUUGGUCAAGGUUGACAUUAUCUUGCAACUUGCAUGGGGAAGAUCAGGUGGCAAAAAUAUUCUCUGGUACAUUUGGGAGAUAUGUUGAAAAAAAAUAAUUGUAAAUUUACCACAAAAAUAACUAUAUAUAUUUUGGAGAACAUUCUGUCGGUCAUCAAGAUAAUUUAUGGGUCGGUGAUUUGAAAAUAAUGAAAUUAGUCACAUGCCCAACCUUCCCCUUUUUUCUCAUUUGUUUUCUUUUAGUGCAUAAUUUAUAGCUAAGGCCAAGUUCGGGCAAGGACCAUUAGUCGACUAGUGGUCGAUU